rnacentral:rRNA from 1 species
CAGUCGCCACGGUAAUACGGAGGGGGCUAGCGUUGUUCGGAAUUACUGGGCGUAAAGCGCACGUAGGCGGCUUGGUAAGUUAGAGGUGAAAGCCUGGAGCUCAACUCCAGAAUUGCCUUUAAGACUGCCGAGCUAGCAGGUGAGAGAGGUAAGUGGAAUUCCGAGUGUAGAGGUGAAAUUCGUAGAUAUUCGGAAGAACACCAGUGGCGAAGGCGGUUCUCUGGCAAUGUUCUGACGCUGAGGAGCGAAAGUGUGGGGAGCGAACAGGAUUAGAUACCCCGGUAGUCCCUGUCUCUUAUAC